rnacentral:rRNA from 1 species
GACGAACGCUGGCGGCGUGCUUAACACAUGCAAGUCGAACGGAAAGGCCCUGCUUGUGUGGGGUGCUCGAGUGGCGAACGGGUGAGUAACACGUGAGUAACCUGCCCUUGACUUUGGGAUAACUUCAGGAAACUGGGGCUAAUACCGGAUAGGAGCUCCUGCUGCAUGGUGGGGGUUGGAAAGUUUCGGCGGUUGGGGAUGGACUCGCGGCUUAUCAGCUUGUUGGUGGGGUAGUGGCUUACCAAGGCUUUGACGGGUAGCCGGCCUGAGAGGGUGACCGGCCACCUUGGGCCUGCGGGACGGCCCAGACUGCUACGGGAGACAGCAGUGGGGAGUAUUGCCCAGUGGGCGGAAGCCUGAUGCAGCAGCGCCGCGUGCGUGAUGACGGCCUUCGGGUUGUAAACCGCUUUCGCCUGUGACGAAGCGUGAGUGACGGUAAUGGGUAAAGAAGCACCGGCUAACUACGUG